UACGUAGGGUGCGAGCGUUAAUCGGAAUUAUUGGGCGUAAAGCGCGCGCAGGCGGCUAUUUAAGUCUGGUGUUUAAACCUUGGGCUCAACCUGAGGUCGCACUGGAAACUGGGUGGCUUGAGUACAGAAGAGGAAAGUGGAAUUCCACGUGUAGCGGUGAAAUGCGUAGAUAUGUGGAGGAACACCAGUGGCGAAGGCGACUUUCUGGGCUGUAACUGACGCUGAGGCGCGAAAGCGUGGGGAGCAAACAGG
rnacentral:rRNA from 1 species